AGGCACGGAGGAAAGCCACAAUGGAUAAACUAACCGGCCACGGGAGGACCGCGCUUUGAUUUAUAAUCCGUCGAGAGAUACCAUCUCGUAUGCCACCACGAGAGACAAGUGAAAUAACGGUUAAGGGAUCUCACAACCUCGGAAAUAAACCACCAAUUCGACAUGGAUCGGUUUGAGCAUCGACAGCGCCUUUUAGAAACUGGCUGCCUCCACCUGCUUCGAAGGCGGAUUUUGGAUAAGAAGCGUUUAUCGUUUUCUGUACUGUCCUCUCAUCAUAGGUAAAUCAUCUGAUUUCAUUUCCUCGGUAAAAACCUAUUCUAUAGGCUAGCCAUAUGCUUCUCAUCCUAUACCGGAACCCUUACUGCUGCCUUCCACGCGGGUGCGUCGCCCUCCAUUGGAUGGCAAAAGAACCAGGACAAAAUUCCUCGCAUUGAAAGGUGGAACCCAUACGAUACUCUGGCAGUAUGUACGAGAAGGAGUCGGUUGCUAUCUUUGGUUAUCUAGCUGUAUGAGUGUUACUCGGCCGUCAUAAAGCUAGCUAACCGAAAGUAGGAAUGUCCUCCAAACCUGCGACUCGGACAGGAAUAAAUGGUGUCUGGGAGUAAAGACACAAAAUAACAUAAUUGAUAUGCAAUUACAGGCCAAUACCUCAGUGCCUUUCCGGUUGAUCCAGUGCCCUUGUCACUGCAGUGGCUGCCUGAGAUACACCCACAAACUCUGCAGUGUGAACAGCACACGCUGUCUACUAAAUGUGACUGCCAGCCAUUCACACCAGGUCUGGAUUGAGCGAGGGAAAAGUGGCACAGUCGUCACAAAAAAAGGAGAAAGCAGGAGGGGAAGAAAAAGGCCAACCCCCUUGUCCCUCUUCCCUUAAAUCUCCAUCACCGGAAGCCUUUGGUGCCAUCUGUGCCCCCGGAGAAAAGGACGGACGAGAUGCCUCCACCCUGUGCCAACGGGGACAAAGGAGCUGCCAGUUAGAGCGGCCCCCCUCACAGGCAGCCAGAGGACUCUGUGUGACUGACUGGGGCUGAGCUACGGAAGCCAUCUUGAUGGAGAGUCUUGCUGCUGCACCUAAAAUGGCUGUGUUGGCAUGAGGUCCUGCUGGUGUUGACAACCUCCAGAGGAAGCCUCUUCCAUCAGCCCUGAGCCCUGGGCCCUGAGCCCUGGGCCCUGAGCCCUGGGCCCUGAGCCCUGGGCCCUGAGCUCUGGGCCCUGAGCCCUGGGCCCUGAGCCCUGGGCCCUGAGCCCUGGGCCCUGAGCCCUGGCAUGUCAGAUCCCAGGAUGUCACGCAAGACCUUCCUCAUUGGCAUCCUCUCCAGUCAAACACUGAGAAAUUAGGGCACUGAAGAAUCCCCCUAAAGUUAAUGCUUGGAGAGAUUUACUGUAAGGACAAUGUUUGGAGUUAUUUGAAGACAUUGUUUGCAGAAGUUGCACACGGAUCAUCUGCAGAUAUAUUGCACUUGGGUAAUCAAUGUUCUCUUUUCCCUGGCUGAGAGUGUAUAGUUUCAAUAUAACUUUUAACAUUACAGCAGAAUGACAAUGUGUGUAUGAUGUGAAAUCAAAAGGGAUGAGAUCAACAUGUGUUCAUACCUUAAUUUAAGGAUGUGUGGAUGUGUGUGUGUGUGUGUGUGUGUGUGUGUGUGUGUGUGUGUGUGUGUGUGUGUGUGUGUGUGUGUGUGUGUGUGUGUGUGUGUGUGUGUGUGUGUGUGUGUGUGUGG